AACUCUUCAAAGAAGGGAGGGGCACACGCACUCGUUCAGCUCCACUCUGGAGGUACAUUUCUACACGUUGUGGAAAUAAUGCAAUUUAGCACCACUUUAUUUGCUAUGGAAUCAGGGAGCGGUAGUUUGGUGUGGCACCAGUACUUUGGCAGAGAAGAUCUUGUGACACUACACCACCCAGGAUUGCAUAGCACUGAGCCAUAAUGGCUCAAGUAAUAACAAACUGCAUUAACUGCUUUCUACAGUUAACCAUAUUUUUUGUGUGUGUCAGGAGCGACUUGCAAAACUGCAAGUCGCUUCUGGUGUGAAAGAAUUGGCUGUCUGCAAGGAGGUUGCCCAGGGGAUGCCCGGAUGUUUUGAUGUUUUUACCAUCCUUGUGGAAGGCUUCUCUCAUGUCCCUGCAUGGAGCUGGAGCUGGAGCUGAUAGAGGGAACUCAUCCACACUCUCCCCAGCAACCUUCAGGUCAGCAACCUAGCCUUCAAGUCAUCAGUCCUGCCAGCACAAGGUUUAACCCACUGCGUAACCAGUGGCUCUGUGAUAACCAGUGAUAACAUCUGUGUGCAUUCAGAAGAAGACCUACAAGCCACUCUAAACACCUUUGCAAAAGCAUAUGAGAAGCACGGCCUCUCAUUGAACAUCGAGAAAACCAAAGUGCUCUUCCAGCAGUAAUUGGCCAAUCCCUCUACAAGGCCAGAAAUACAGCUUAACAGUGUAACAUUAGAAAAUGUUGACCAUUUCCACUACCUUAGCAACCAACUUUCUACAAAAGUCAACAUAGACAACAAAAUACAACACCGCCUGAACUCUGCACGUGCAGCAUUCUUCUGAAUGAAGCAGAGAGUGAGGAUCAGGACAUCUGUAGGGAUACCAAGGUGCUUAUUUAUAAAGCAAUUGUCCUCCCAACCCUGUUAUAUGCCUGAGAAAAGUGGACUGUCAACAGAUGUCACACACGACUCCUGAAACAAUUUCAUCAGCGUUGUCACUGAAAAAUCCUGCAAAUCUCUUGGGAAGACAGGUGGACAAAUGUCAGCAUGUGGACAGCAAAGCAUUGAAGCGAUGCUCCUUUGCCAUCAACUCCACUGGACUGGCCACAUUGUCUGAAUCACCGUCUCCCAAAGCAGUUGCUAUACUCCCAACUCAAGAACUGAAAAUGUGGACAGGAAAAGAAAUUUAAGGAUGGGCUUAAAGCUAACCUCAAAAACUGUGGCAUAGACACUGAGGACUGGGAAACCCUGGCCUUUGAGCAUUCUAACUGGAGGUCAGCUGUGAUCCGCAGUGCUGCAAAAUUAAAAAAACAAAAACAAAUGGAGGGCAAAAAGGAGAAACAUGCCAAGAGGAAGGUGCAUCAAGCCAACCCUGACCCUGGCCUUCCGUCUGGAAACAGAUGUCCUCACGGUGGAAGAAUACGCUAGUCAAGAAUAGGGCUCCACAGCCACCUACACAUCCACCACCAAGACACUACACUUGGAGGGCCAUCAUACUCAGACAAUGAGGGAUCGCCUGAUCAAUUCCUAGAGGCUGUCGCGCAAGCUACCUACCAGGCCUAAACGAAGAAUCGCUAAAUCAGCUACAGGAAUAUCUCAGACUAUUUCAAGAGAAUCCAUACAGCGAUGAGACUAUAGCAGCAGGCUAAAAACUAUCUACAGCCUUAGCUAAUGCUAAGAAAGGCCGAUGGAUAGAGCUGCUUGAGAAUCUUGAUAUGUCCAAGAGUAGCCGAAAAGCCUGGCAAUUGCUGAGACGCCUGGAUAGUGACCCUCUGGUCAACUAUGGACACGCAAACGUGACACCAGACCAGAUAGCUCACCAGCUAAUUCAGAAUGGGAAAACCAACCGCAGCAGAGUAAAGAUGAAAAUCAACAGGCUGCCAUAACUUGAAACCUACCAGUUGUCUUCUCCUCUAAACCUGAAAGAACUCAGAGAAGCCAUCAAGCGAUGUAAGACUAGUAAGGCAUCUGGCCUAGAUGACUUAAUGAUGGAGCAAAUCAAACACUUGGGGCCCAAAGCUGAAAACUGGCUUUUGAAAUUCUACAAUCAAUGCUUGGCACACAAACAGAUUCCCAGACCAAGGAGAAAACUAAGAUCAUUGCCAUUUUAAAACCUGGUAAAGAUGCCUCCAAUUCCAGGAACUAUCAACCAAUCUCCCUCUUAUGUCAUCUAUAUAAAGUCUAUGAGAGGAUGCUAUUAAAUCAAUUAGGACCUGUCAUUGAACCUAAGCUUAUUGCACAACAAGCAGGUUUCAGACCAGGGAAAAACUGUACAGGUCAAAUUCUCCAUCUAACUGAGCAUAUAGAGGAAGGCUAUGAGAAAGGCUGCAUAACAAGAACAGUUUUGACGGACAUUACGGCAGCCUAUGACACGGUGCAACAUAGAAAAAUGCUGCAUAAAGUUUACGAUAUCACCCGGGACUUUGACUUUACAAAAACUGUCCAGACCCUCUUAGAAAACCGCAGCUUCUAUGUGGAGUUUCAGGGCCGGAAAAGUAGAUGGAGGAGACAAAAGAAUGGUUUGGCCCAAGGCAGUGUUCUUGCACAGACCUUAUUUAACAUCUUCACAAACGAUCAGCCACAACCACCACUCACAAAGAGCUUUAAAUAUGCUGAUGACCUGGGCCUAACAACACAAGUGAAAGAUUUUGAAACAGUUGAAAUCCAACUCACUAAUUCCUUGAAAGAUCUCUCCAGCUACUACAAAGAGAACCACCUGAAGCCUAACCCUGUCAAGUCACAAGUGUGUGCUUUCCACCUACGUAACCGUGAAGCCAACAGGAAACUGAAAGUUACCUGGGAAGGCCAAGAGCUCGAACACUGUUUCCAUCCUAAAUACCUUGGUGUCACCUUAAAUCGAACACUAUGAACACCAAGCACGAAGUAGCUGCAUGCAACAACAUCCUGCGGAAACUUACUGGCAGCGCAUGGGGUGCAGACCCACAAGUAAUAAGAACAUCAGCCCUGGCCUUGUCUUUCUCAACUGCUGAGUACACCUGUCCUGUUUGGCACAAGUCUGCCCAUACGAAGCAGGUGGACAUAGCACUGAACAAAACAUGCAGAAUAAUCACAGGAUGCCUUAAACCUACACCUGUUGAUAAACUCUACAAGUUAGCUGGCAUUGCCUCUCCUGACAUGCGACAGGAAGUUGCUGCUAACGGUGAGAGAAAUAAGAUUGAACAUUGUGAAAGCCACCCAUUGCAUGACUAUCAGCCCCCCCCCCCCCCCCAGUAGACUCAAAUCAAGGAAAAGCUUCAUGAGAACCACCACUCCUCUUGAUGUUCCUCCAGCAACAGCAAGGGCAGCUAAACCAGGCAAUCCCAACUGGAUGGCCCCCCAUGAGGGUCUUCCUUCAGGGGCAAACCAAGAAUGGGCAACUUGGAAGUCCCUGAACAGACUGAGAAGCAGAGUGGGCAGAUCAAAAGACAACUUGGCAAGGUGGUACUACCUGGAGGAAUCCUCCACCUUGUGUGACUGUGGAGCUGAACAAACAACUCUGCAUAUGUAUGCUUGCCCACAAUGCCCUGCCUCAUGCACGGAGGAGGAGUUGUUUAAAGCCACAGACAAUGCAGUCGCUGUUGCCCACUUUUGGUCUAUUUAACUGCCUGUGAUUUCCUUUAUUUUAUCACUUUUAAACUUAUUUAUUAUGCAAUGCUUUUGACCCGAAAUAAAUAAAUAAAUAAAUAAAUAAAGUCACAUCUGACAAAGAUUUAA